rnacentral:rRNA from 1 species
GAGUUUGAUCAUGGCUCAGAACGAACGCUGGCGGCAGGCCUAACACAUGCAAGUCGAGCGCACCUUCGGGUGAGCGGCGGACGGGUUAGUAACGCGUGGGAACGUACCCUUUUCUACGGAAUAGCCUUUGGAAACGAAGAGUAAUACCGUAUACGCCCUUUGGGGGAAAGAUUUAUCGGAGAAGGAUCGGCCCGCGUUAGAUUAGAUAGUUGGUGGGGUAACGGCCUACCAAGUCUACGAUCUAUAGCUGGUUUUAGAGGAUGAUCAGCAACACUGGGACUGAGACACGGCCCAGACUCCUACAGGAGGCAGCAGUGGGGAAUCUUAGACAAUGGGCGCAAGCCUGAUCUAGCCAUGCCGCGUGAGUGAUGAAGGCCUUAGGGUCGUAAAGCUCUUUCGCCUGCGAUGAUAAUGACAGUAGCAGGUAAAGAAACCCCGGCUAACUCCGUGCCAGCAGCCGCGGUAAUACGGAGGGGGUUAGCGUUGUUCGGAAUUACUGGGCGUAAAGCGCACGUAGGCGGAUUGGAAAGUUGGGGGGUGAAGUCCCGGGGCUCAACCCCGGAACUGCCUCCAAAACUAUCAGUCUAGAGUUCGAGAGAGGUGAGUGGAAUUCCAAGUGUAGAGGUGAAAUUCGUAGAUAUUUGGAGGAACACCAGUGGCGAAGGCGGCUCACUGGCUCGAUACUGACGCUGAGGUGCGAAAGUGUGGGGAGCAAACAGGAUUAGAUACCCUGGUAGUCCACACCGUAAACGAUGAAUGCCAGUCGUCGGGCAGUAUACUGUUCGGUGACACACCUAACGGAUUAAGCAUUCCGCCUGGGGAGUACGGUCGCAAGAUUAAAACUCAAAGGAAUUGACGGGGGCCC